rnacentral:rRNA from 1 species
CCCGCUGAACUUAAGCAUAUCAUUAAGCGGAGGAAAAGAAACUAACAAGGAUUACCCUAGUAGCGGCGAGUGAACAGGUAAAAGCCCAAAAUUGGAGUCUGUAUGGGUCGUCUGUACAGAAUUGUAAUCUAAAGAAUUCCUCGGAAAGCCGAGCUUCUCUUAACACUUUGAAAAGAGUGAUCAUAGAGGGUGAUAAUCCCGUAAAGAGAUGGCCUAGCUGUACGAGUUAUUCGAAGAGUCGGGUUGUUUGGGACUGCAGCCCUAAAUGGGAGAUAAACUUCUUCUAAGGCUAAAUAUUUAUGGGAGACCGAUAGCAUACAAGUACUGCGAAGGAAAGAUGAAAAGAACUUUGGAAAGAGGGCUAAAAGACUUGAAAUUGUUGAGAAGGAAGCUGUAGGAGAGAAUCACGCAGGAAGGACGUCUGAGGUUUUAGGGCAUACACACGGGUGUUUCCAGUACUUUGUAAGGCUGUGCAUUCGCGAUGUAGAACUAGGCUUCUCUUUCCCUCUGCGAGGCAAAAUGGUGUCAGAGCCGUGUGAAUAACUAUAAGGCACUCCUCUUUUGGAUCCGAAUAGCAAAGCACAGCCUGGCCCCAGGGGACCGUAAGGCGAUUUUGCCAAAAUAUCUUCUACCGACCCGUCUUGAAACACGGACCAAGGAGUCUAACAACUAUGCGAGUUUGCGGGUGGAAAAACCCAUAGGCACAACGAAAGUGAGUGCAAGAUGCUAAACCGCAAGGUGGCAGCAUCAACCGACCUUGAUCUUCUGAGAAGGGUUCGAGUAAGAGCAUACUUGUUAGGACCCGAAAGAUGGUGAACUAUGCUUGAGUAGGGCGAAGCCAGGGGAAACUCUGGUGGAGGCUCGUAGCGGUACUGACGUGCAAAUCGUUCGUCAAACUUGAGUAUAGGGGCGAAAGACUAAUCGAACCAUCUAGUAGCUGGUUCCCUCUGAAGUUUCUCUCAGGAUAGCUAGAACAGUAAUGCAGUUUUAUCAGGUAAAGCUAAUGAUUAGAGGAAUUGGGGGUCCAAGACCCUUGACCUAUUCUCAAACUUUAAAUUGGUAAGAUCCGUCAGUUAUCUUAACUGAACUGGCGGGCAGAAUGCAGUGUUCUAAGUGGGCCAUUUUUGGUAAGCAGAACUGGCGAUGAGGGAUGAACCUAACGUAGAGUUAAGGCGCCCAAAUUCUCGCUCAUCAGACACCACAAAAGGUGUUGAUUCAUCUAGACAGCAGGACGGUGGCCAUGGAAGUCGGAACCCGCUAAGGAGUGUGUAACAACUCACCUGCCGAAUG